GGUGAGUAAUGCAUCGGAACGUGCCCAGUCGUGGGGGAUAACGCAGCGAAAGCUGUGCUAAUACCGCAUACGAUCUAUGGAUGAAAGCGGGGGACCGAAAGGCCUCGCGCGAUUGGAGCGGCCGAUGUCAGAUUAGCUAGUUGGUGGGGUAAAGGCCCACCAAGGCGACGAUCUGUAGCUGGUCUGAGAGGACGACCAGCCACACUGGGACUGAGACACGGCCCAGACUCCUACGGGAGGCAGCAGUGGGGAAUUUUGGACAAUGGGCGCAAGCCUGAUCCAGCAAUGCCGCGUGCAGGAAGAAGGCCUUCGGGUUGUAAACUGCUUUUGUACGGAACGAAACGGUCCGGGUUAAUACCCUGGGCUAAUGACGGUACCGUAAGAAUAAGCACCGGCUAACUACGUGCCAGCAGCCGCGGUAAUACGUAGGGUGCAAGCGUUAAUCGGAAUUACUGGGCGUAAAGCGUGCGCAGGCGGUUUUGUAAGACAGGCGUGAAAUCCCCGGGCUCAACCUGGGAAUGGCGCUUGUGACUGUGAAACUGGAGUGCGGCAGAGGGGGAUGGAAUUCCGCGUGUAGCAGUGAAAUGCGUAGAUAUGCGGAGGAACACCGAUGGCGAAGGCAAUCCCCUGGGCCUGCACUGACGCUCAUGCACGAAAGCGUGGGGAGCAAACAGGAUUAGAUACCCU
rnacentral:rRNA from 1 species